rnacentral:rRNA from 1 species
AUAACGGUCCUAAGGUAGCGAAAUUCCUUGUCGGGUAAGUUCCGACCCGCACGAAAGGCGUAACGAUUUGGGCACUGUCUCAACGAGAGACUCGGUGAAAUCAUAGUACCUGUGAAGAUGCAGGUUACCCGCGACAGGACGGAAAGACCCCGUGGAGCUUUACUGUAGCCUGAUAUUGAAAUUCGGCACAGCUUGUACAGGAUAGGUAGGAGCCUUUGAAACGUGAGCGCUAGCUUACGUGGAGGCGCUGGUGGGAUACUACCCUAGCUGUGUUGGCUUUCUAACCCGCACCACUUAUCGUGGUGGGAGACAGUGUCAGGCGGGCAGUUUGACUGGGGCGGUCGCCUCCUAAAAGGUAACGGAGGCGCUCAAAGGUUCCCUCAGAAUGGUUGGAAAUCAUUCAUAGAGUGUAAAGGCAUAAGGGAGCUUGACUGCGAGACCUACAAGUCGAG